rnacentral:rRNA from 1 species
UACAGAGGGGGCAAGCGUUGUUCGGAAUUACUGGGCGUAAAGGGCGCGUAGGCGGCCUUCUAAGUCGAACGUGAAAUCCCCGGGCUCAACCCGGGAACUGCGUCCGAGACUGGAAGGCUCGAAUCCGGGAGAGGGACGUGGAAUUCCAGGUGUAGCGGGUGGAAAUGCGUAGAUAAUCGGAAGGAACACCAGUGGCGAAAGCGGACUUCCUGGUCCAGCAU